AAACACAUUCUCUUGUAUAUUUUCAGACAGCCAGGCUCUCAAAGAUUGGUGGAUAUGACUUAAAGAGCUGUUUAAGCACCAUCAUGGACAGACUCAUGACAAAUGAAUUAAUGUCCAAUCUGAACAUGAAGGGGAGAGGGGGAAAAAAAUAGCUUUGCCGAGACGAAGCUGCUCGAUUUAGUCACAGCUAGUGUCUUGGAUACCCAGAAGGGGACCGAAACGAUGGUCCAUGAUGCCAUAAAAAAUAAACUGAAAUAUGCCCCUGGACGGAAGGGAGGAAUAGGAUGGGCAUCACAGGCUAAAUAAAUAUUUAUAUCGAUUG